AUGAAACACUCCUACGGGAGGCAGCAGUGGGGAUAUUGGACAAUGGGCGAAAGCCUGAUCCAGCCAUGCCGCGUGUGUGAAGAAGGUCUUCGGAUUGUAAAGCACUUUAAGUUGGGAGGAAGGGCAUUAACCUAAUACGUUAGUGUUUUGACGUUACCGACAGAAUAAGCACCGGCUAACUUCGUGCCAGCAGCCGCGGUAAUACGAAGGGUGCAAGCGUUAAUCGGAAUUACUGGGCGUAAAGCGCGCGUAGGUGGUUUGUUAAGUUGAAUGUGAAAGCCCCGGGCUCAACCUGGGAACUGCAUCCAAAACUGGCAAGCUAGAGUAUGGCAGAGGGUGGUGGAAUUUCCUGUGUAGCGGUGAAAUGCGUAGAUAUAGGAAGGAACACCAGUGGCGAAGGCGACCACCUGGGCUAAUACUGACACUGAGGUGCGAAAGCGUGGGGAGCAAACAGGAUUAGAUACCCCAGUAGUCCGAAGUUC
rnacentral:rRNA from 1 species